GGUCUCACAAAAUCUGAUGGUUUUAAAAACAGGCGUUUCCCUGCACAAGCUCUCUUCUCUUGCCUGCUGCUGUGUGAGACGUGCCUUUCACCUUCCUCCAUGAUUAUGAGACCUCCCCAGCCAUGUAGAACUGCUCCACUGGCAGAGAGCAGAGAAGAGGAGAAAAGAAGAAACAGCUGAAUGUCGGAGAGAAGCAGAUUGAUUUCAGAGAGACGGCUUGAUGGCGUGACUUCAGAGUUCAGUCCAGCCAGAAAUGACUGUUCUUCACGGGAAGAAUACUUUCCCGCUCCCUCCCCUUUCCAACUCCCCUUCCCACUGAGUGCCACCUCCAUGGGCAAUAAAGUCCUCUGCAUUCACCACCCUUCAAU
rnacentral:lncRNA from 1 species